GAGUUUGAUCGUGGCUCAGGAUGAACGCUAGCUACAGGCUUAACACAUGCAAGUCGAGGGGCAUCAGGAAGAAAGCUUGCUUUCUUUGCUGGCGACCGGCGCACGGGUGAGUAACACGUAUCCAACCUGCCGAUAACUCGGGGAUAGCCUUUCGAAAGAAAGAUUAAUACCCGAUGGUAUAAUCAGACCGCAUGGUCUUGUUAUUAAAGAAUUUCGGUUAUCGAUGGGGAUGCGUUCCAUUAGGCAGUUGGUGAGGUAACGGCUCACCAAACCUUCGAUGGAUAGGGGUUCUGAGAGGAAGGUCCCCCCACAUUGGAACUGAGACACGGUCCAAACUCCUACGGGAGCAGCAGUGAGGAAUAUUGGUCAAUGGGCGCAGGCCUGAACCAGCCAAGUAGCGUGAAGG
rnacentral:rRNA from 1 species